UCCCACCCGUGUUUACUGUACCUUAGUUGCUUCGGCGGGCCCGCCAUUCAUGGCCGCCGGGGGCUCUCAGCCCCGGGCCCGCGCCCGCCGGAGACACCACGAACUCUGUCUGAUCUAGUGAAGUCUGAGUUGAUUGUAUCGCAAUCAGUUAAAACUUUCAACAAUGGAUCUCUUGGUUCCGGCAUCGAUGAAGAACGCAGCGAAAUGCGAUAACUAGUGUGAAUUGCAGAAUUCCGUGAAUCAUCGAGUCUUUGAACGCACAUUGCGCCCCCUGGUAUUCCGGGGGGCAUGCCUGUCCGAGCGUCAUUGCUGCCCAUCAAGCACGGCUUGUGUGUUGGGUCGUCGUCCCCUCUCCGGGGGGGACGGGCCCCAAAGGCAGCGGCGGCACCGCGUCCGAUCCUCGAGCGUAUGGGGCUUUGUCACCCGCUCUGUAGGCCCGGCCGGCGCUUGCCGAACGCAAAUCAAUCUUUUUCCAGGUUGACCUCGGAUCAGGUAGGGAUACCCGCUGAACUUAAGCAUAUCAAUAA
rnacentral:rRNA from 1 species